UACGGGGGGAGCAAGCGUUGUUCGGAUUUACUGGGCGUAAAGGGCGCGUAGGCGGCCACCGCAAGUCGACUGUGAAAUCUCCGGGCUUAACCCGGAAAGGUCAGCCGAUACUGCGGGGCUAGAGUGCAGAAGGGGCAACUGGAAUUCUCGGUGUAGCGGUGAAAUGCGUAGAUAUCGAGAGGAACACCUGCGGCGAAGGCGGGUUGCUGGGCUGACACUGACGCUGAGGCACGAAAGCGUGGGGAGCGAACAGG
rnacentral:rRNA from 1 species